UACGUAGGGGGCAAGCGUUGUCCGGAUUUAUUGGGCGUAAAGAGCGUGUAGGCGGCCAGGUAGGUCCGUUGUGAAAACUGGAGGCUUAACCUCCAGCUGUCGAUGGAAACCAUCUGGCUAGAGUCCGGAAGAGGGGAGUGGAAUUCCUGGUGUAGCGGUGAAAUGCGCAGAUAUCAGGAAGAACACCCGUGGCGAAGGCGGCUCUCUGGGACGGUACUGACGCUGAGACGCGAAAGCGUGGGGAGCGAACAGG
rnacentral:rRNA from 1 species